rnacentral:rRNA from 1 species
ACGCCCAGCACGCUAUCAUGCAGUCGACGCUUCUUUCCUCCCGAGUGCUUGCACUCAAUUGGAAAGAGGAGUGGCGGACGGGUGAGUAACACGUGGGUAACCUACCCAUCAGAGGGGGAUAACACUUGGAAACAGGUGCUAAUACCGCAUAACAGUUUAUGCCGCAUGGCAUAAGAGUGAAAGGCGCUUUCGGGUGUCGCUGAUGGAUGGACCCGCGGUGCAUUAGCUAGUUGGUGAGGUAACGGCUCACCAAGGCCACGAUGCAUAGCCGACCUGAGAGGGUGAUCGGCCACACUGGGACUGAGACACGGCCCAGACUCCUACGGGAGGCAGCAGUAGGGAAUCUUCGGCAAUGGACGAAAGUCUGACCGAGCAACGCCGCGUGAGUGAAGAAGGUUUUCGGAUCGUAAAACUCUGUUGUUAGAGAAGAACAAGGACGUUAGUAACUGAACGUCCCCUGACGGUAUCUAACCAGAAAGCCACGGCUAACUACGUGCCAGCAGCCGCGGUAAUACGUAGGUGGCAAGCGUUGUCCGGAUUUAUUGGGCGUAAAGCGAGCGCAGGCGGUUUCUUAAGUCUGAUGUGAAAGCCCCCGGCUCAACCGGGGAGGGUCAUUGGAAACUGGGAGACUUGAGUGCAGAAGAGGAGAGUGGAAUUCCAUGUGUAGCGGUGAAAUGCGUAGAUAUAUGGAGGAACACCAGUGGCGAAGGCGGCUCUCUGGUCUGUAACUGACGCUGAGGCUCGAAAGCGUGGGGAGCAAACAGGAUUAGAUACCCUGGUAGUCCACGCCGUAAACGAUGAGUGCUAAGUGUUGGAGGGUUUCCGCCCUUCAGUGCUGCAGCAAACGCAUUAAGCACUCCGCCUGGGGAGUACGACCGCAAGGUUGAAACUCAAAGGAAUUGACGGGGGCCCGCACAAGCGGUGGAGCAUGUGGUUUAAUUCGAAGCAACGCGAAGAACCUUACCAGGUCUUGACAUCCUUUGACCACUCUAGAGAUAGAGCUUUCCCUUCGGGGACAAAGUGACAGGUGGGUGCAUGAUUGUCGUCAGCUCGUGUCGUGAGAUGUUGGGUUUAAGUCCCGCAACGAGCGCAACCCUUUAUUGUUAGUUGCCAUCAUUUAGUUGGGCACUCUAGCGAGACUGCCGGUGACAAACCCGGAGGCAGUUGGGAAUGGAACGGUCAAAUUCAUCAAUGCCCCCUUUAUUGGAACCUUGGGGCCUUACGC